AUCGCGUCUGCGGGCCAGGCGAGGAUGGGAUGGAGAGGAAGGAUCUGUUCAGACACAAGGGAAGCGAGCUCCGCCGCCGCCGGGGGGAAGCUCUGCGCUCACGGGCCGAAUCUGCCCUCCACGGGGUCUCUGCCAUCUCUGCUGCUGACUUGGUCCCCAGGUGCUUGGUCCGCCCAGCUGAGAACCUGGCUCCACAGGUCCUUGGCUGAGAAGAUAGCAUUUCAGCAAAGGCUUGAAGAAGAUGAAGUGGUGAGCUGUGAGUGUGAAUGAGGUCAGCAACAGAUCCAAAGUCCACUGAAAACUGCUGGAUGGUGCUAUGGCUACUGAUGGUUUGGAGAGAAAUCAAUCUUGCUGGCCUACAAGUGUUCAGACUAUUGUAAAUACUAAAUACCCAAAGAAGAUACAUUUCACCUGAGUUAGACCAGCACAAAAUUCAAGCCAUUUUAGUUCUGAUUUGAGAAGGAAUGUACAAACCCAAUCACAUCCUCUCCUUCUUGGAAAUCAACAUGUCUUAUAAAUUAAGAGAAUUCCAGUCAUUAGAUUUUAGGACGAUUCUUUAAAGAAAGGAAUUAAAGAAGACACCAGAAAAUGGAAAGAUCUCCCAUGCUCUUGGAUAGGUAGGAUCAACGUAGUAAAAAUGGCAAUCCUGCCAAAAGCAGUCUACAGAUUCAAU